CGUGAUGGUGUGUGUGUGUGUGUUUUCUUCAGUGACGUGUCUUUCCAGUGUUCUGGAAAGUUCGGUGCGGUGUUUCCCCUUCAGUGCGCAUGCGCGAACGCAUGACAUUUUCUCCUGUUGCUGCGUUGAGCAGAUAGUGUGUGCUUUAUCAUCGCGUGUGAUAGUUUAUAGUGUUAUUACCUACUUUCCAUCAGUAUAAGGCUACUCAUCUCAGUUAUGGCUAGGACUUACGCCUGAGAAGUGCACCUAUAAAUGUUGUUUCAUUCAGCAAGUCUGAGAAAAGUGGUUGUUCCCCCCUGUAUGUUACAGUGUGAGCAUUUAUAAAGAACUACAGUGAUGCUGGUGAUGUCAUCAUUAUGGGUAACAAGUUUCAUUUGUAGUAUUUAGCCAAGUGACAUGACUUGAUCUUUAAAAAAAAGUUACAAAAAAAGUAUUUCUGUGUUCAGAAUGCAUUAAUUUAAAAAGCAUGACCCCCCCCAAAAAAUAAAAGUACUCCUUGUCGGCUAACUUACAUAUAACCACUUGCAAAAAAAAACCAACCAAAAACCGAUUGUAGGUUUUGUGCCAGGAUGUCCAAGAAGCAUUCUGAGGUAAGUUUUGCUGUAGUUAAAAUUGUUUUUUAAAUAAUACGAUUUUUGACUUCGAUAAUGAAUAUGACUAAUGACUCUUUACUACCACUGUUUUAUAAUAAUAAUAUUGAUUGUUUCCUAUUGUGUUUAAAUCAGGCCUACCACCUUCUGAGCUACUCAGAAGAACCACGCAGCGUGGACCAAAUAUCUGCACGACCCACUGGGUAGCCUGGCACGAACCUCUGAAAAGUGCAGUGCGGGCUAGCAGAAUAUUUGAAACUAUUUUAAAUAGUCCUAAAUUUUUUAAGGGAAUUGAUGAAGUCCUUGAAAGAAAUAGACAAUAAUAAUAAUAAUAAUAAUAAUGAAAAAUAAGACACAGCAGAAAACGGUCUAUGAGCAUAAGAAAACUCUUCAGACUUCAGAGGUUUACAUACCAGGUAACCUCUGUAUACCAGGAACAAGGUGCUCCUGGUAUGCAGUAGUUAGUACCUACUGUACUAACUACUACAUACCAGGAACACCCUGUUUUGGAGAUGCUCUGUCUCAGUUGUCUAGGCAUCACUAGUUGGCCCUUUUCGUUGUUGCUCAGAUCCUUACGCUUACCCAUUUUUUCUGCUUCCAACACAUCGGCUUUGAGAGCUGACUGUUCUCUUGUUGCCUAAUAUAUCCCACCCCUUGACAGGUGCCACUGUUACGUGAUAAUCAAUGUUAUUCACGUCACUUGUCGCCUUUUAAUAUUAUGGCUGAUUGCUGUAUAAUUCAUCCAGUGUCUAGAUGUUAUUUAUACUCUAUACACUUUUGUAAAAGAUUUGAGUGAUCUUUGUCGGUUCUGUGGGGAACCCAAGUGAUCCAGUUUUGACACCUGCCUGGGUAAUGGGGCAUUUUUAUUUUAAAAGUUUCUUAAUAAAAAAAUAAAAAUAAAAAAAAAGUAAUAAUACUCAAAUUUUAUUAGCCUUUUCAAUGCCCCAUGCUAUUACAGUUAAACUUGUAACAGAUGAGUCUAUCUAAUGUAGAAAUAAAAUAGUUUUAUCACAUUUUUUAUCUAUUUAACUAUUUUAUAAAAUAGUUUUAUCACAUGAUUUAAAACAUUUUAUGAUCAUUCAGAUUGCCUGUAAUGAAUGUGACAGGUGGUACCAUCAGUCAUGUGUGGGCAACUCAUCAGGAGGAAGAUUUUUAUUGCCCAGCAUGUAUUGAAGAAUACACCAAGGUUAACUGUGACAAUAUUUUUCAAAGGCGUCUAUGUUGUUGUAUUUAAUUUUAUGGCAUUGUGUUUUUGUUUAAUUAAAAGGUAAAUAAACAAAUUUUUUCAUUUAUUUCUAUUCAGUAACUGCUUUAUCCUGGUCAUAGUUGUCGUGGAUCCAGAGCCUAUUCUGGUAACACUGAGCGUGAGGCAGAAGUACACUGUGGAUGGGACACUGGUCAAUCGCAGGGCACCAUGCACAUGAACAUUAUUACUGUUAUUAAUAUGUUUAUAUUUGUAUUUAAUGUUUAUAGAAGUACUUAAGUUUUGUUUUUAAUUUAAUUGGAUUUUCCACAUAUUUGCACAAUUGUAGUAUAUGCAUAAUAUAGUUUAAUUCUUGAUUUGCCAAUAAAAAUAUUUUGUUCUUAUAUUUAAA